UAGAUCGUGGCUAAAGGUAAAGCAUUUCAUUUACAAUGAAUUAAUCUCUGUUCAAUUCAGGUCGUUCUAA
rnacentral:tRNA from 1 species